ACAGCCUGCCAAGCGCACAUAUUG
rnacentral:siRNA from 1 species